ensembl:lncRNA
GACAGAAGGAAGUCUAUAUGAGCAAGUUGAGGCACCCCAAAAGAGCUUGUCGACUUCAUUCUGGUGGCUCAAUCUCAAAGGAUCCCUUGAAAGAUAUACUAUGCUGGCCAACAUAACAUAUCCCAUAGUCCAUGUGUGACUCCAUAAAGGAUCUCUUCCAGAACUCUUCUGGGCAUCUGGAUGACCCCACAUGGACUCUUGUGGGGUUUAAAGUGGGCAGAGGCCUGAAGGCAAGAAAAGGGAUGGGGGGCCGUAGAUUUAGCUCAGUGGUUCUUUUGCCUGCCUCGCAAGUGCGAGUUCGAUCCCCGGUACCAAAAAAAAAAGAAAAAAGAAAAGGGAUGGGGUCCACACUGUCUCCGCUGGUGAUGUUCAGCGCAGGAUAUGCUGCCUCCCUCAAGUCCAACAUACCAGAUAUGGACUUAGAAUUUUCCAGGGAAAUGCUUCUCUUUCCCUUGUCUCCUGAGGCAUAGGCUAUGGUUGCCUAGCAUUAAAGGUGAUUAAAUUCAUCAACAUUUGUAUGGGGUGUAUAAGAAUCCACUGAAGAAUGAACAUUAAUGUACUCGGAGUAGUCUCUAUUUUUAUUAAUAUAAAUAUGAUGUGAUGCACAGACUUGAAGAUUAAUAUUUGGACAUUCAUUUUUAGUCAUUGUUACAAAAGGGGCUGCCUUUUUCGGUACUCAAAGCUGAAAAGCAAACAAGAAAACCAGCACCAAAAUUCUCACACAUCCAUAGUUAUCUUCCGGGAUAGCAACACAUCAUAGGCUUAUAAUGGUUGUAGCAUAAUGCAAAAAUGACAAGCAGAUUUUCCGGUUGUGAACAAGUUGAAAAGUUACACCAGAAAACACUGGACAAACCGAACCAAUGGCUUUUUUAACCUAUCAGAGAGAGAACUGAGGUUGCAAGCUAAACCACCACUCUGAAAGACAGACCUUGAAUCACAACUGACAUCUGCUUACCUGGAGAAGUUCUCCAGAGCCAUAAACAGAGAACACUUACAUGAUAAAUGUGCU